GACGAACGCUGGCGGCGUGCUUAACACAUGCAAGUCGAACGGAAAGGCCCUGCUUUUGUGGGUUGCUCGAGUGGCGAACGGGUGAGUAACACGUGAGUAACCUGCCCUUGACUUUGGGAUAACUUCAGGAAACUGGGGCUAAUACCGGAUAGGAGCUCCUGCUGCAUGGUGGUGGUUGGAAAGUUUCGGCGGUUGGGGAUGGACUCGCGGCUUAUCGGCUUGUUGGUGGGGUAGGGGCUUACCAAGGCUUUGACGGGUAGCCGGCCUGAGCGGGUGACCGGCGACAAUGGGCCUGAGAUACGGCCCAGACUCGUACGGGAGGCAGCAGUGGGGAAUAUUGCACAAUGGGCGGAAGCGUGAUGCAGCAACGCCGCGUGCGGGAUGACGGCCUUCGGGUUGUAAACCGCUUUCGCCUGUGACGAAGCGUGAGUGACGGUAAUGGGUAAAGAAGCACCGGCUAACUACGUG
rnacentral:rRNA from 1 species